CUGUGAGGGAGCCUUUCUGGACAGUCCUGGUCAUCCGAGGCCAGGAGCUGGGUGCCUUGUGGACUUCUGGCCUCCUCUUCUCCGUGUUGCUGGUGUCCUUCCAAGCAUCUACCUUUCUGCACUGCUGGAAAGGAAGGAGGAUGAAUGCUGGGUGGCCACCCUGCGUGCCAAACUCUUCAUGCCAGGGCUGGUGGGGCUGUGUGCCCUUGGCUUGCUGCAGCAGUGGGGCCAGCUGUGGACCAACUCCCUGAGGAUCCAGUACAGCCUCCUGGGUUCUCAGUGAAUUCAAGAUCUUGAGCUGCCAGGGGCCUGGCCACUCCCACCCUGAGCCCUGCUUUGGCUGAGCUGGUCAUUGCUGCAUGUCCCUGGCUUCUGGCCUGCCUAUCCUCUGCAGUGCACAGGAGCUUUCCCAGUGGGUUCUGAACCUGCUCCUCCUCAGUCCAGCCAGCCAGCCAGUUCAUAGGAAUUGUGUAUAGUUGGUUAAGACAGAGAUCAAGAUGAGACAAACUCAUUCAUGUGGUAAGUAGAUGCUUACCUUUAAUCUCUGUGGUGUCUUGAUUAAAUCACUUGUUUUCUGCUUCUGUUUCUGUGCAUUUGGAAAAGUUCACUGCUUUUUGGUUCCUGUGGGUGAUCUGAGAACACACUUGGGGAUUUGUGAGUUGAUCACACUCUGACCAUUUUCAACAUCAUGAGUUUACCAUGGAGUUUAAGAACAUCUGGGCUUUCUCUGCUGUUUUCUGGGGUUGCCUGUGGAGGAAUAGAGGCUGUUGUGUCUGAUGGCUAUAGCCCUGUCCUGGCAGAACAGUGCUUCUCACUGGCUAUGCCAAGUGUGUUUGGUUUAUGUGGGAUUAGAAUGUGCCGUUGGCUGUACAAUUCAGGGGACAAGUAAUAGUCCUGAGAGUGUAAUGUCAUGUAAAUCUCUCUACUUGGUGUUCUCAUGAUGCUUGCUCUCUGUGUUGUGUAAGACUUAGUGAUCUGUCAUUUGUAUUCUUCAUUUAAUUGUCCUUUU